rnacentral:rRNA from 1 species
GACGAACGCUGGCGGCGUGCUUAACACAUGCAAGUCGAGCGGUAAGGCCCUUUCGGGGGUACACGAGCGGCGAACGGGUGAGUAACACGUGGGUGACCUGCCCUCAGCUCUGGGAUAAGCCUGGGAAACCGGGUCUAAUACCGGAUAUGACUCCAUGACGCAUGUUGUGGGGUGGAAAGCCUUGUGCGGCUGAGGAUGGGCCCGCGGCCUAUCAGCUUGUUGGUGGGGUGAUGGCCUACCAAGGCGACGACGGGUAGCCGGCCUGAGAGGGCGACCGGCCACACUGGGACUGAGACACGGCCCAGACUCCUACGGGAGGCAGCAGUGGGGAAUCUUGCGCAAUGGGCGAAAGCCUGACGCAGCGACGCCGCGUGAGGGAUGACGCU